rnacentral:rRNA from 1 species
GACGAACGCUGGCGGCGUGCUUAACACAUGCAAGUCGAACGAUGAAGCCCAGCUUGCUGGGUGGAUUAGUGGCGAACGGGUGAGUAACACGUGGGCAACCUGCCCCAAACUCUGGGAUAACUCCUCGAAAGAGGUGCUAAUACCGGAUACGAACUAGACAGACAUCUGUACUAGUUGGAAUGUUUUUCGGUUUGGGAUGGGCCCGCGGCCUAUCAGCUUGUUGGUGAGGUAACGGCUCACCAAGGCUACGACGGGUAACCGGCCUGAGAGGGCGACCGGUCACACUGGGACUGAGACACGGCCCAGACUCCUACGGGAGGCAGCAGUGGGGAAUAUUGCGCAAUGGGCGAAAGCCUGUCGCAGCGACGCCGCGUGAGGGAUGAAGGUCUUCGGAUCGUAAACCUCUUUCAGUAGGGACGAAGCGAAAGUGACGGUACCUAAAGAAGAAGCACCGGCUAACUACGUGCCAGCAGCCGCCGUAA